rnacentral:rRNA from 1 species
AUUGAACGCUGGCGGCAGGCUUAACACAUGCAAGUCGAGCGGGGUGAUGGUGCUUGCACUAUCACUUAGCGGCGGACGGGUGAGUAAUGCUUAGGAAUCUGCCUAUUAGUGGGGGACAACAUCUCGAAAGGGAUGCUAAUACCGCAUACGUCCUACGGGAGAAAGCAGGGGAUCACUUGUGACCUUGCGCUAAUAGAUGAGCCUAAGUCGGAUUAGCUAGUUGGUGGGGUAAAGGCCUACCAAGGCGACGAUCUGUAGCGGGUCUGAGAGGAUGAUCCGCCGCACUGGGACGGAGACACGGCCCAGACUCCUACGGGAGUCAGCAGUGGGGAAUAUUGGACAAUGGGGGGAACCCUGAUCCAGCCAUGCCGCGUGUGUGAAGAAGGCCUUAUGGUUGUAAAGCACUUUAAGCGAGGAGGAGGCUCUUUUGGUUAAUACCCAAGAUGAGUGGACGUUACUCGCAGAAUAAGCACCGGCUAACUCUGUGCCAGCAGCCGCCGCCG